UGCCUUGCAAAAGGUUCAGUCACUGUACAGUCUCUUUUGAUCUAUUCCAGGUUGUGUGUCCUUGCCUUCAUUGACUGUAUCCAACUACUGCGUUACCAGAUCACCUCUACUGGCUACUCUAUCUGGAAGCUGGCAAGGAAGAAGAGUAAAGAGUUCCUUUCAGGCCAUAGUCUUGGGAAGGGCCUUCCUCCUCCAUGUGCCAGUGCCACAGAGUCACCAUCCCAGUCAGCAUCACUAAGUUCUUUGGGAACAGAGACAGCAGCAGUGGCAGCACCAAUAGCACUUGUGUGGUCAAUACGUAUACAGAGCCUUGCCAACGAAUUUGGAGUGAGAUCAGCUGUCUUCAGAGUGCAGAUCUCCCAUGAAGAAGGACUACCAUGGAAGUAGUUUCAUCUGUAAGUGUGUGAAGCCAACACCCC
rnacentral:lncRNA from 1 species